GUAUCGUACCAAGCAUCGAGACAGUAAUCUUCUAGACUUCUACUCGUUAACGUGAUCUCGAUACAAGUAAAAUACUUAACACAGUCUUAUAUUCAAAAUUAACUAUAUAUAUGUCGGUAUUUCAGAACGUGAGACACGAAGUCCUACCAUCGACGAGGUACAGAGUAGACGCGAUCAUCACUAAUAGCAUUUUUGUAUCGCAUGCGAUGUUAUCGAUCCAGAAUAGUAGUGGUUUGAAUUGAAAUUAUAUUUUCAUAAAACUAAAUUUUCCGUUCAAAAAUUUCCGUUCGUAAAUUAUAAACAUUAUAGUUUACGAUUCAAAUGUGAGUGAUUAACUGGAUUAUGUAUAACUAAUCGUUUCUUUGAUCUUUUACCGACGAAUCAUCGACGGAUCCUAUCAGUCUCCAAUAUCGCUGUGCAAUAAUUUAGAUAGAAUUAACUUUAAUUAUAAAGAUUAUUGUAUAAUUUUUUAAAUUCAAUCAAUAAAUAGGUUUUUUUCAA